rnacentral:rRNA from 1 species
GAUGAACGCUGGCGGCGUGCCUAAUACAUGCAAGUCGAGCGAACGGACGAGAAGCUUGCUUCUCUGAUGUUAGCGGCGGACGGGUGAGUAACACGUGGAUAACCUACCUAUAAGACUGGGAUAACUUCGGGAAACCGGAGCUAAUACUGGAUAAUAUUUUGAACCGCAUGGUUCAAAAGUGAAAGACGGUUUUGCUGUCUCUUUUAGAUGGAUCCGCGCUGCAUUAGCUAGUUGGUAAGGUAACGGCUUACCAAGGCAACGAUGCAUAGCCGACCUGAGAGGGUGAUCGGCCACACUGGAACUGAGACACGGUCCAGACUCCUACGGGAGGCAGCAGUAGGGAAUCUUCCGCAAUGGGCGAAAGCCUGACGGAGCAACGCCGCGUGAGUGAUGAAGGUCUUCGGAUCGUAAAGCUCUGUUAUUAGGGAAGAACAUAUGUGUAAGUAACUGUGCACAUCUUGACGGUACCUAAUCAGAAAGCAACGGCUAACUACGUG